AGGUGCUGCAUGGCUGUCGUCAGCUCGUGUCGUGAGAUGUUGGGUUAAGUCCCGCAACGAGCGCAACCCUUGCCAUUAGUUGCUACGAAAGGGCACUCUAAUGGGACUGCCGGUGACAAACCGGAGGAAGGUGGGGAUGACGUCAAGUCCUCAUGGCCCUUAUAGGUGGGGCUACACACGUCAUACAAUGGCCGGUACAGAGGGUAGCCAACCCGCGAGGGGGAGCCAAUCCCACAAAGCCGGUCGUAGUCCGGAUCGCAGUCUGCAACUCGACUGCGUGAAGUCGGAAUCGCUAGUAAUCGCGGAUCAGCAUGUCGCGGUGAAUACGUUCCCGGGUCUU
rnacentral:rRNA from 1 species